CAGUGUUUAACUAUCCUCUUAAAAGACUUUGUCUAAAUAGAUGAUAUUCCAAGGUCUAUGAUUAGAGGUUCCCAACCUGCAGCUCUGCCUUGCAGUGUUCUUUGGUUUUCAUAACCCUGCAUUUCCUUUUAGGUUAUUUUCAUUUUUGAGCUCUUUGGAUCGAUUGUGUACAUUCGUGUAUCUUUUUUCUUAAUAUUUUUAAGCAUUUGCAGCCAUAAAGCUUCGCUUUCUGAUUUAUUGUGGAUAUAAUUAAAUGAGUGCAGCACCUAUCUGAACCAGUUUUUUCAGGUUUCAAAAUAUUGUAUAUUCCCAUAUUGUUUUUUCCUUUCCACCUUUCUCUCAAUUAUCCAUUUUUUUCAUUCGAUUGCAGGUUUAAUUAUGGAGCCUAUGGACAUCUUCAACAGAGGAUGUUUUAAUCAAACACUUUCAAUUCUCGAUUUUUUCCAACAUUCUUUGGCGAAAGUCCAUUUUCUAGUAUGACUUUUAUACUUUUGAACAAGGGGUUUAUUUGCCAGUGAUUUGUAAUGUGUGAUUUAUUUUUCCCUGAACUAUGACACCUUUGAACAGGUAGUAGCAGGAGAUUAUAUACUCCAAUACAUUGAGGGUUUGACUAAUAACUAUCUCUCUUUCUUUAAUAUCACAUUAAAGGCUUCAAAUGUGAAAGAGAAAACAAGAACCUAACAGUUAAUGCAGCUCAUUGAUUUUUUAUAAUAUAUUUAGUUUAUAGUCCAUUUUACAUGCAUUAGUUGUAAAAAGCGGAAGGUUUUACAGGAAGUUUUAUGCUAUAAGAUGGAUAUUUUUCUGAAAUUGCUUCUUCUUUAAAUACAAACCUGUAUGGUGCCUUAGAUUGAGAACCUGUGUUUUGAUUUUCUUUCAUUUUUUUAAUCUUAUUGUUUUGAAGAGUAAAACACUGAAAUGGUAUGGCAGUGAUACUGUUGAUGGUCUUAGGGGAUGACAUUGAAAAGAAGUUUUAUGAUUCUGAAUUCCAUUAGUGUCAUGGUUCCUUGCUGAUGAACAAUUACUCUACUCCUAAAAUUAUGGAAGAACAAGUUUAGUGGCUUGGGCUGUGCUCUGUUGAUGUUAUCUUUGGCAAACAUGAUUCCAUAUUAAGGAGACCCUGAGCUACGCAUUUGACUGGUGCCUAGAAUUAUGAAAACUGACCGAUUGUCCACGUGAAGCAAUUUCAUCUUACCGGCAAAGCUCUCCUUCAUCCAUGGAAACAUGAUGCAGAGACUACAAUAAUGAUUCAGAAAGAAUUUGUAGUUGCUCUUCUAUUGACCUUAAUUUACCAUGUUUUUGGCUUCAUUUGGUUCACCAUAACAGCAUGUCUUGAAAACUGAGGUUCCCGGCUAAUGUAUUUUUUUUAUUUCUACUUGUUUCUACCAAGGAUCAUUUGGAAUAAUUCUCUUAUUAUCCCUUCUUCCUGCUCAAUCUUUGAGAUUGAAGGAAGAUUGAAGAAAGAUCUAGGUGCAGUUCAUUGUUAUUGUAAUUCUUUAUCUGCAUUGCAGUAUUUCCUUUGGAUUGAAUCAUGUGCAAGAAGUAUGUUGUUCAA